rnacentral:sRNA from 1 species
UUGCAGCAGUCACUUUGUCAAUCUGUGCUCUGUGGGUUGCGCUCCUGAGGUGAGGCCAUUAUGGGGUCUUUCAACAAUACCUAGCACCCAUCUGGCAGCUCACGGCAAUCUAUAACUCCAGUUUCAGGAGAUCUGAUGCUGUCUGAGAGCUCCGUGUUUGCAUGCACUGCACAGACACACAUUCAGGAAAACACUCACUUGCAUACAUACAUACAUACAUACAUACAUACAUACAUACAUACAUACAUCUUUAAAAUGAGACAUACAAGACUUUCACAGGCUCCAGUUCCAACAGUGGUGACUAUGUCAAAGGUACAUCGUGGGAACUGCUCAGAAACUUGAAACACCCAGAGAGCAUCAGACUUUCAAGGAAUGCUGUCUGCUACCAUUGGGGCGAGGUUGUCUCCUGAAAGAAUGACUCUGUAAGGCAGGAAAUGCAGAGUGGAGAGGGAGGACAGGAACUCCCUGGAACUCAGCAACAGGACUCAGGCCCCAUGAAAAAGGAACUGGCCGAAGGCAGCUGGGCACGCAUGUGCACGUCUGUGCAUACGUGUGCAUUCCUAUGUAUACUAAGAGCUGUCCGUCCAGGCAUGGGUAUGGCAGAGUUACUAUAAAAGAGCAAAAGCUAGGGAUGAUAGUGGAAAUUCGAGAAUGACACUGGGGACCAGCAAGAUGGCUAGGUGGGUAAAGGUGCUUGCUGCCAAGUCUGACAACCCGAGUUCGAUCCCCAGAACACCAUGUGAUGGAAGGGAAGGACUAACUCCUGUGACAUCCAUGUGAGCACUGUGAUCACGUGUAACACACACACACACACACAUACACACACACACACAGAGAGAGAGAGAGAGAGAGAGAGAGAGAGAGAGAGAGAGAGAGAAUUAAAAAGAAGAAAGGCCAUAGAUCACCUGUCUCAAUAACAGAAUAACAACUACAGGCGCCACUGAGUGGACAGUACAAGUGAGCUAAGCUCACUCCUUCUUUCUCCUAAAGCCUGGAAAAAAAUACUGUACUGACAGCAAAUAGUGUUGGAGAAACGCCACGAGGGUUUUGGAUUUAUCUUAGGAUAUCAAGGCCCGAGGCGGGGAGAAGGACAGCCUCACCCAGGUGAGGUGGGAGUAUCAGGCCGUUUCAUUUGCAUGUUAAAAACGGUGAUAUCAAUCUAUAGAGAGGCACUGUUAAAAGCCCUUUAAUGAACGUAAUUAAGUCAUUUGAUCUUCCCAGCAACCCCACAAAGUAGAGACUGUUAUCAUCCCCAUCUCUUCAGAUGAGGAACGGAAGGCAUCCAGCUGUCCAGUCAGCUUUCUCAGAGUCGCACAGCCAAGUACACUGGAUGUAAGCCCCAGAGACCGUGUUCUUAACCCCUGAGCCCCAAGCAGACGUAAUAGACACUUCUGCGCAUCUAAUUUUUCUCUUCCGUUGAAUCACCUCUUCAGGACUGCCUCCUGUAAAUGGCAUGACUCUGUCCCUGGUGAUAAAACACUUUACAGUCGUGGUUACAUGUUGCAUUUGCCAAACAGGCAGCACCAGUUUACGACGUUGUUACCAGGGGACGACUUUGCCACUUUCACCACCACCAUAAGGAGCAGAGGGAGAAUCACCGUCGACAUAAACACCCAAGUCUAUCGCAUUUAAAUUUAAUAGACGCACAGCUGGUUGUUGGCAAUUUGCAGCAUGUGACGUGGCUAAUAGCCGUUCAGCUGGGAUUCUCUCUGAGUUCCAGGCCUUUUCGUUCACCACAUCGGGUUAGCCGGAGUUGAGCUUUCAGCCUUCAUUGUUCUUGGCCCUGUGGUCCCAGUCUAUGCAGAACAGCAGAGAUGUUGGGACCUGUAAUUAUCAGUCCCAUUGUGCGAGACAGGUUACAUCCUACUGCUCAGCCUGGAGCAUGUGUGCACUUCUACAGACUGUCCUGGACCAGCUUUCUCUCUGCAUCCCAAAGCUCAGCCUAGGACAUGAUGGACCCCGGGAGGAUUUGUUUACCGGAUGGCUUGGAAAAGAAAAAAUUCUCCCACAGCCUGCCCGAAAACCUCCACAUGCUGAGGGUACACACUCGAAAUGGAGAGUCUGAGAACUCGAACUCUUGUUUUUCUGAAUGCACAGGCAGCCUUUCAUACUGAUAGGGAAUUGGCUCCAGGACUCUUCCAGAGACUCGACUCCUGGAUGUUCAAGUCCUUCAGGUAGAAUGCUUCAGUCGACGCAUGUAAUGUGUGCAGUGCUCUUGUAUGCUCCAACCGCAUACUUAGAAUGCUUAACCACAUGCUUAGAAGGAGAACCUCGAGGUCUUGCUCCCAGACUAACACAAGGGAGGAGGCUGUUAGUGAUCCGGACAGCCGCAUGCUUUUUCCUGAAUGUUUUUGACUGGUCUCAAUCUACAGACAUGGAUAAGGCCUUAGGAUCUUGUUCAUGGGAAACCUGUGGCCAGUGGGGUCCACUGUCUUUCUUCUCCGUUAUGCAUAGCAGAUGCCCUUUCCUCCACGCUGUGGCUCUGCUGCCUUUCCACUUUCCAAACGAAACCAAGGCUGUGUCCGAGGAGGAGUUUGGUGAAGGUUUCGGUGACAUUGGAUACCUGCUGCUUAGACGUUCUGGUUUUAUCACUGAGAAUCCAGAAGAACCCUUGGGCCCUGGUUUUCUCUCUGAGUGGUUGAUUUCUCUAGCACAAGAGAAGCUGGCAGACAAAUUCACCGUAACGAGAUUAAGGUCUGAGUCCCACCCACCGUGUGACCGGAUUGGCUGUGUUGGGACAUAUUGAUGUUAGAGCUACAUGGUGUGAAACAGAUCAAAGUUUUGUUUUGUCUUCAUUCAAAAACUGUAAAAAGAAUUAUUUCAA